CCUACGGGUGGCAGCAGUGAGGAAUAUUGGGCAAUGGGCGCGAGCCUGAACCAGCCAAGUAGCGUGAAGGAUGACUGCCCUACGGGUUGUAAACUUCUUUUAUAAAGGAAUAAAGUGAGGCACGUGUGCCUUUUUGUAUGUACUUUAUGAAUAAGGAUCGGCUAACUCCGUUCCAGCAGCCGCGGUAAUACGGAGGAUCCGAGCGUUAUCCGGAUUUAUUGGGUUUAAAGGGAGCGUAGAUGGGUUGUUAAGUCAGUUGUGAAAGUUUGCGGCUCAACCGUAAAAUUGCAAUUGAUACUGGCAGACUUGAGUACGGUAGAGGAUAGCGGAAUUCGUGGUGUAGCGGUGAAAUGCUUAGAUAUCACGAAGAACUCCGAUUGCGAAGGCAGCUUACUAAACUGCCACUGACAUUGAUGCUCGAAAGUGUGGGUAUCAAACAGGAUUAGAUACCCCAGUAGUC
rnacentral:rRNA from 1 species